UUGCUUCAGGGAUUUAGAAGUUCCUGAUAUGCAAUUUCAUCCAUCCAAUCACUUUGUCAGCAAUACCAUAUGUUUUGCUGGUCAUUCAAGGAUGGAAUACCA